rnacentral:lncRNA from 1 species
GUACAAGGCCAUUAGCGACGAGCUGGACCACGCCCUCAAUGACAUGACCUCUAUAUAAACUGUCACCGUUUCUGCUCUGUUCUGGAUCUACCCCCCUUUCCUUGGGGAACCCAACACCCCACUCGCUCUGGAUUCCAUUUGGGUCAGCCUGGCUGGUUCCCACAGCCUUAGGACUGGAGGGCCUGGGGCGGGGCACAAAGCAAUUUACAUAUUUGCUUUCACCCCCAUAUUAAAAUGUUAAGCUGCCAAAAGCUUCGUGCCCUCCUGCAUUUGUGUAUUGACAAAGCUGUUGCUGCACAGACGAAGGAGCCCUGCCGGUGUGAAGUGGGGACAGCUGGAUUAGGCUUCCCCUCUCUGACUUCUGUAC